GGGGGUGGUUGAGUCCCGGUGGGCUCCUCGGUCUUCAAAACCGGUGGCGGGUCGUUCUGCGGGCCGCGGUGGGUUCGACUCCCAUCCACUCCCG
rnacentral:tRNA from 1 species